rnacentral:snoRNA from 1 species
AAUCCAUGAUUGAGACAUUUCCUCAUGAACAUCUGGAAACGUUCCCAUGCCUCAUAAAAAGCGUCAUCACCACCUUGUCUGAAUGUUGAGAUUUCAUACUUUUCAU